CUUUGUGUGAAAAGUGGUAUGACAUAGCCUACACAGUGAUUUAGUUAAAAUAUUUUUAGGCUUAUCUAAAUUAACUUGAUGAGCUGCUUGAGAUAUCAUAUGAUUUCUAAUUAUGCCAAAACUAGCUUUAAGUAUUCAUUAAAUUAAAACACAUAUCUGCAAGUCUUCUUUCAAGGUCGUUCUGAAAAUGAUUGAUUUCUACACGCUCUUCCUUGCCAUUAUAUUUCAAUUAUUGAAAAGCCUUGUCAUUUUUUCCCAAUAUUUUGAGCAAGUUAAUGAACUGCAAACGUUCAUUUUUGUGUGGUAUUUCGGUAAUAAAUUUUCAGUACAAUGGAACUUUUCGUCUAUAUUUAAAAAACCACCAAAAUGGUUAGACAAUAAAAUUCUGAAAGUGCUUCCAUGUCCUGAAAAAAGAUUGGAUUCAUUAAAAAGACAAGUUCAAAACAUACAACCUUUGAAAAGGACAACUGUUUUUGUAUAUCCUUUGACUGGCGUGGAUCGGCUGAUAAGUUUCAGGAACGUGAGUUAUGAAACGGGCUGGAGAUAUUUCUUUACACAACUAGCAGAAGCUGGUUUUUUUUUCGUCAGAGCCAGUACGGUUAAGUGUGAGUGUUGUCACGCACGGAGAGCUAUGACUGUCUUUAAUUCAGACCCUUCUAAUCCAGAAUACCACAAUUUUGGAUGUCGAUUCGCCAAUAGUGAUCGAAGACAUAAUAUCAAUACCCCAGGAAUAGUAUCUUACGUUGGAUUAGGUUACAAUGAACAAAUUCAUUUGAAUCCUCCUGUUAACUCGACAGUUCGUUGCUUAAUCAGCUCCCGAGAAACAGCCCAUCCUCAUUAUAAUACUUACAAUACAAGACUUGAAUCUUUUACAAGAUGUCGACACCAAAUGCCCGAUACAGCCGCUUUGGCGUCAAAUGGAUUCUUUUAUGGGGGCAGACGCACGGAAAUAAGAUGUUUCAACUGUGGUCUAUGCUUAAAGCAAGUCACGACAGUGGAGAAUGUUUUAGUUGAACACAUACGUAACAGACCUGAUUGUUUUUUUGCGCAGAGACGACCGAACAGCGAAAGACAUGCAGGCACG